CCAGCAGCCGCGGUAAUACGGAGGUCUCAAGCGUUGUUCGGAUUCAUUGGGCGUAAAGGGCGCGUAGGCUGCGGGGCAAGUCGGGUGUGAAAUCUCAGAGCUCAACUCUGAAACUGCACUCGAUACUGCUUUGCUUGAGGACUGGAGAGGAGAUUGGAAUUCACGGUGUAGCAGUGAAAUGCGUAGAUAUCUGCAGGAACACCCGUGGCGAAAGCGGCGCGCUGGACCACUACUGACGCUGAGGAACGAAAGCUAGGGGAGCAAACAGGAUUAGAUACCCUGGUA
rnacentral:rRNA from 1 species